rnacentral:rRNA from 1 species
GACGAACGCUGGCGGCGUGCUUAACACAUGCAAGUCGAACGGAAAGGCCCUGCUUUUGUGGGGUGCUCGAGUGGCGAACAGGUGAGUAACACGUGAGUAACCUGCCCUUGACUUUGGGAUAACUUCAGGAAACUGGGGCUAAUACCGGAUAGGGGCUCCUGCUGCAUGGUGGGGGUUGGAACGUUUCGGCGGUUGGGGAUGGACUCGCGGCUUAUCAGCUUGUUGGUGGGGUAGUGGCUUACCAAGGCUUUGACGGGUAGCCGGCCUGAGAGGGUGACCGGCCACAUUGGGACUGAGAUACGGCCCAGACUCCUACGGGAGGCAGCAGUGGGGAAUAUUGCACAAUGGGCGGAAGCCUGAUGCAGCAACGCCGCGUGCGGGAUGAAGGCCUUCGGGUUGUAAACCGCUUUCGCCUGUGACGAAGCGUGAGUGACGGUAAUGGGUAAAGAAGCACCGGCUAACUACGUG